GGAGUGUAGCACAGUGGUAGAGUUCAUGCUUAGCAUGCAGGAGGCACUGGAUUCAAUCCCCAGCACCA
rnacentral:tRNA from 1 species